UGCUUUCUCUCCCUGGUCAUUUCAUUGCCCAUUGGGUGAACCCAUGUAAGAUUCUCUUCCUAGGUCUGGAAGAUACAAGACUGGCUCAGCCUCUCCUCCCUCUCUGGCCUCUUCUGCGCCCCACCAAUCUGCCUCCGCCAUCUAAGCUGGGGAGAGUUCAGUCUCACUCAGAUCAAAACACUCUUAGAGGCCUGGAUGUUAAACAUUGACCACUUUUGCGUUAGUUAGAAGGUUACGAGGAUCACAUCCCCAGCUGCCCCUGUUAAAGCUUUCCAUGUUUUAGUUAUAUUUCUACAAGCUGUUAGGCUUUUCAGAGACAGAGCUUUUUUAAAGACUACCUUCUGAUUUGUAAGCUUCUAAUAAACUGCAUACAUAUACUCGUGUACCUAAUCAGAAACUAGCAAGUUUACCCAGAAACCAAAAUAAUUAAAAUAAAUCUUCAGAGAUGUCUUUACAAAAUCUCAUCUUUAUAUGUUUUGCUCAAGAAUUUGAGUGGUGCAAUCAAUACAUAAUCCAAAGGGUUUAAGGAAAUCAUGUUAUCUGGCAGAGCCAUGUAAGGGGGGCAGGGAAAUCCUAUAUCCCAUCGGAUUGUAUCAGUUGAAGUGUCUCCAACAGACACGAUGUCUUCCUUUCAGAAAAGUGUAAUUUUAUGCUCUGCUUGGGAAAUCCCAAAACGCAGGGGACUCUGCAAGUUUCCAAGCUCUGUGUAGAAGCCCCAUGAAAGUUCAGGCCUUGACUUAUCAUGGUUUCUUCAUUCAAAGCUUCAGGGAACCAGAAGAUGACCUCCUUAUUUUUUGGAGGUACAUAAUAUGGACAUAAUCUUUCAUCUUUGUUUCAUUGCUGGUGGGUUUUGGGACCCUUUGGACUUUCUAUCUCAUCCUUAAGUGGACAGAAGUAGAUUUCUUUCUUUCUGGGAAAGACUCACUGCCUGGCAGAGUUGGGGUUUUAUUUCAAUCAGAAGGUGGGGUUCCCAAGAUGGUGGAAGAUUGGGAAAGCGUUCUGAUGUGUGGCAGAGUUUUUACUUCUUUAUCCCAUUUAUUUUUUUAAAAAAAAAAUUCUUUUCUUUAUAAGUAUGGUUUGGUUAUUAGUCUUUUUAAAAAGUCCUGACGAGCAUUUUUAAAAGUUUCUGAUUUGACUGUGGAUAAAUUAGCAGAGAUUGUUUAUUGUCUACAUUAGCAGAGAUUGUUUAUUCAGAUUUUUCACAACCAUUAUUUGCCAAAGACUCAUGUAAUCCUCAACUUUUCCUUGGUAAAACAGACCAGUAGUCUUUGCAUAACCAGAAGGAAUCCAAGUUGGCAAAUUGCCAGUGUGCAAGCAGAGUCCAACUUGGCUCGUUUUGCACAAGCAGGACAGUGGGCCAGAUGUGUAACUUGUAGUUAUUUCUAAGCCCAGGAUGACUGUGAAUUAUUCUUUACACAUCUCGUUGUGUCGCGUGAUGGAAGUAUAAUUCUUUCUUGUUUGGGAUUGUAAAGUUUAUGGGUCAGUGUGUCGAUUGUGUGUGUUAGCCAAGGAAACAACUUUGUUUUGUUAUCCCAGGAUUAGGGUAUAAUGUAGUGUGUGAGCCAGCAAUAGUGUCUGAGGCCAAAAUGACAGAGAAGAGCUUUCCCCAGAAUCCCCAUAAUAAAACUGUCCACUCCAGAAUAUUUGACAACAUGAAACUGACUAAAUAGAUCAGCCUGGCUGGAGGCCAGGCUGUAAAAAUGCUCCAGGUAACAAACCCCUAGAGAAAACCACAAGGGCUUCCUUCGUAUCUCCCUCUGUUGCUGGCCUAG